AGACACUUAGGCGUAUAAUAAAACCGGGGGCCUUCAAAGCUCCAAAAAGAGGACCAACCUCUAGUGUCUG
rnacentral:tRNA from 1 species